AACGAACGCUGGCGGCAUGCCUAACACAUGCAAGUCGAGCGAGACCUUCGGGUCUAGUGGCGCACGGGUGCGUAACGCGUGGGAACCUGCCCUUAGGUUCGGAAUAACUCCCCGAAAGGGGUGCUAAUACCGGAUAAUGUCUUCGGACCAAAGAUUUAUCGCCUUUGGUUGGGCUCGCGUUGGAUUAGCUAGUUGGUAGGGUAAAAGCCUACCAAGGCGACGAUCCAUAGCUGGUCUGAGAGGAUGAUCAGCCACACUGGGGCUGGGACACGGCCCAGAAUCCUACGGGAUGCAGCAGUGGGGAAUAUUGGACAAUGGGGGAAAUCCUGAUCCAGCAAUGCCGCGUGAGUGAUGAAGGCCUUAGGGUUGUAAAGCUCUUUUACCCGGGAUGAUAAUGACAGUACCGGGAGAAUAAGCUCCGGCUAACUCCGUG
rnacentral:rRNA from 1 species